rfam:Citrus sinensis cultivar Ridge Pineapple sweet orange scaffold00146_contig_31, whole genome shotgun sequence.
AUACCAUGAUGAGGACAUCUCCUGAGUAACUCCUUAAAUCUCUCCCAUGCACCACACAAGCUCUCAUCUUCAAGCUGAUAGAAAGAUGUGAUCUCAUUCCUCAACUU